CCUACGGGGGGCAGCAGUGGGGAAUAUUGGACAAUGGGGGCAACCCUGAUCCAGCCAUGCCGCGUGUGUGAAGAAGGCCCUCGGGUUGUAAAGCACUUUCAGUGAGGAAGAACGCCUGGUGGUUAAUACCCAUCAGGAAAGACAUCACUCACAGAAGAAGCACCGGCUAACUCCGUGCCAGCAGCCGCGGUAAUACGGAGGGUGCGAGCGUUAAUCGGAAUUACUGGGCGUAAAGGGCGCGUAGGUGGCUUGAUAAGCCGGUUGUGAAAGCCCCGGGCUCAACCUGGGAACGGCAUCCGGAACUGUCAAGCUAGAGUGCAGGAGAGGAAGGUAGAAUUCCCGGUGUAGCGGUGAAAUGCGUAGAGAUCGGGAGGAAUACCAGUGGCGAAGGCGGCCUUCUGGACUGACACUGACACUGAGGUGCGAAAGCGUGGGUAGCAAACAGGAUUAGAUACCCUAGUAGUC
rnacentral:rRNA from 1 species